AUUGAACGCUGGCGGCAGGCCUAACACAUGCAAGUCGAACGGUAACAGGAAGAAGCUUGCUUCUUUGCUGACGAGUGGCGGACGGGUGAGUAAUGUCUGGGAAACUGCCUGAUGGAGGGGGAUAACUACUGGAAACGGUAGCUAAUACCGCAUAACGUCGCAAGACCAAAAAGGGGGACCUUCGGGCCUCUUGCCAUCGGAUGUGCCCAGAUGGGAUUAGCUAGUAGGUGGGGGAACGGCUCACCUAGGCGACGAUCCCUAGCUGGUCUGAGAGGAUGACCAGCCACACUGGAACUGAGACACGGUCCAGACUCCUACGGGAGGCAGCAGUGGGGAAUAUUGCACAAUGGGCGCAAGCCUGAUGCAGCCAUGCCGCGUGUAUGAAGAAGGCCUUCGGGUUGUAAAGUACUUUCAGCGGGGAGGAAGGGAGUAAGGUUAAUACCUUUGCUCAUUGACGUUACCCGCAGAAGAAGCACCGGCUAACUCCGUG
rnacentral:rRNA from 1 species